rnacentral:rRNA from 1 species
UACAUAGGGUGCAAGCGUUGUCCGGAAUUAUUGGGCGUAAAGAGCUCGUAGGUGGUUUGUUACGUCGGAUGUGAAAUUCAGGGGCUCAACCCCUGACUUGCAUCCGAUACGGGCAAGCUAGAGUUUGGUAGGGGAGACUGGAAUUCCUGGUGUAGCGGUGGAAUGCGCAGAUAUCAGGAGGAACACCGAUGGCGAAGGCAGGUCUCUGGGCCAAUACUGACACUGAGGAGCGAAAGCGUGGGGAGCGAACAGGAUUAGAUACCCUGGUAGUCCACGCCGUAAACGGUGGGCGCUAGUUGUGCGAACCUUCCACGGUUUGUGCGACGCAGCUAACGCAUUAAGCGCCCCGCCUGGGGAGUACGAUCGCAAGAUUAAAACUCAAAGGAAUUGACGGGGCCCCGCACAAGCAGCGGAGCAUGCGGCUUAAUUCGACGCAACGCGAAGAACCUUACCAAGGCUUGACAUAUACAGGAAUAUGGCAGAGAUGUCAUAGCCGCAAGGUCUGUAUACAGGUGGUGCAUGGUUGUCGUCAGCUCGUGUCGUGAGAUGUUGGGUUAAGUCCCGCAACGAGCGCAACCCUCGUUCUGUGUUGCCAGCAUUUAGUUGGGGACUCACAGGAGACUGCCGGGGUUAACUCGGAGGAAGGUGGGGAUGACGUCAAAUCAUCAUGCCCCUUAUGUCUUGGGCUGCACGCAUGCUACAAUGGCUGGUACAAACGGCUGCGAUACCGCAAGGUGGAGCGAAUCCGAUAAAGCCAGUCUCAGUUCGGAUUGGGGUCUGCAACUCGACCCCAUGAAGUCGGAGUUGCUAGUAAUCGUAGAUCAGCAACGCUACGGUGAAUACGUUCCCGGGGCU